rnacentral:tRNA from 1 species
GCCGACGUAGCUCAAUGGUAGAGCAAGUGUUUUGUAAACACUAGGCUGGGGGUUCAAUUCCCUUCGUCGGCU